rnacentral:rRNA from 1 species
AGCGAACGCUGGCGGCAGGCUUAACACAUGCAAGUCGAGCGGGCGUAGCAAUACGUCAGCGGCAGACGGGUGAGUAACACGUGGGAACGUACCUUUUGGUUCGGAACAACACAGGGAAACUUGUGCUAAUACCGGAUAAGCCCUUACGGGAAAGAUUUAUCGCCAAAAGAUCGGCCCGCGUCUGAUUAGCUUGUUGGUGAGGUAACGGCUCACCAAGGCGACGAUCAGUAGCUGGUCGAGAGGAUGAUCAGCCACACUGGGACUGAGACACGGCCCAGACUCCUACGGGAGGCAGCAGUGGGGAAUAUUGGACAAUGGGCGAAAGCCUGAUCCAGCCAUGCCGCGUGAGUGAUGAAGGCCCUAGGGUU